ACAGGAAUGACAGAUAAAAUGAUAAACAGUUUCAAAAUAUUUUCAAACGAUUUUCUCUCAGGCUAUUUGGAGCAAAUAUACUUAGACUGAACAGCUUGAGAUUUGUGCCAGAGGAAUGGAUAAAAAAAAAAAAUACUACAAAGCCCAAAGCCAAGGUGUGGGGGAGGAUCCUGCUACAGGAAAAACAAAACCAAACAAACCAAAAAAAAAAAAAAAAACUGCCAUUUUUGAGCAAUUACACUGUAAUAUGUAAACGUGAGGCUUUACACGGUUAACAGUUUUGGAAAUAAAAUUUUCUCUCUCUUUGGAUUUAAAAUUGCGUGAAAAACCACAUGGCUUACUUAAUAAACACCUUUGCUUUUGGCAAAAGGAAACAAAAACUCAACCUUUUGCUUUUGGCAAAAUGAAACAAAAACUCAACCUAUCGCUGCACCGUAGAAGCCUCUGUCAUAAAACUGGAAGCUGUUGAUGUAAAAUGUAACCCAGUAAUACAAUCACUUUUAUCAACCAGUAUAUUAUUGUGAAAUGCAAUUCCUCAUGAGAGCAAAACAAAACAAAACAAUUUACAGCACUUUCUUGGGAAGGAGUACAAAGAGAGAACGGAAAAUGUUUCUUGGCCAGCAUUGUUUUCUUUACCGUGAAAGAAAGACUUUUCCAGCUAGCCACUACUGGAUAACUACAACAUAUCUGCCAUCUGCUUGUUGGGUGAAUCACAUUUUUUUCUAGCUAACAAUGGCGUGUGGAAAUUGCAGUGGAAACGAUUUGGGAUUGCCAAAUAUUCAUGUUAAAAGCUAGCAAGAAUUUGGAAGUGUACAACGGCGCUUUUCAUUUGAAUAUAUGUUAUGGCCAUUUAUAAUGUUGACACAAUGCGAAAUUGGCCAUUUUAUUUCGUUAAAGCCUAUCUAAUAUUAGUGCAACCCUAGGGGUAAGUUGCUCCAUACAAGGCAGUCACACUCGUCGAUGAAUUCAGCUAUUGGUGAAUUAGCCAACUCCCCAAAGUUGAGUGUGUGUAUACUGUACACCCACUGUCAGUGUCUGUCAGCGCCCAACCUGAUAUGAUAAAGUCAGCAAGUACGGCUGCAUUCCAUUUGUGGAUGAUGCAUUUCAUGAUCAGCACGCGAGGCACAGUUCUACUUUCACUUGUCCAAACCUUGUGAACCCCAUUUUAAGCCUGUGACAUCCGCUGUUAAAACUUGUAAAAAUUCAGGCUGCUGCCAUCAAAAUUCAGAUACUGUACAAACACUCAUUUUUGCCUUGCAGGGCGGUUAUGAAUUUUGGGAAACCCGUCAUUCAUUCAUCUUCCGAACCGCUCUAUCCUCACAAGGGUCGCGGGGGGUGCUGCAGCCUAUCCCAGCCAUCUUAUGGAGUAGGCGGGGGACACUCUGAACCGGUUGCUAGCCAAUCGUAAUUUAACCUAGCAUCUUCUGAUCCAUACCGAGACAUCGAUUGCGCCUUUGGGGAACCAUAUGAAUGGUUAAUCACCUCCACUUAUUACAUACACAGCGCACAACAAAUUGAUGAAUAACUAGUUUUAGAAUCAGAAAUCAAGAAUAAUGACGGUUAUUGUGGAUUACAUAUGUCAAUUUGAAAUUUUGGUUCAGACUUUAGCAAGCAUCAUGGAACUUGAGAUGCUUGAUUUUCUUUCGCGGACCACAUAAAAUGAUGUGGCGGGCCAGAUCUGGCCCCCGGGCCUAGACUUCGACACCCGCGCUGUACAGGAACAAUCGUACUAGCCGGUUGUUGCACCCUAGUUUGGAUUGGACCAGAACACAUAAUAUGAACAUGAGUCAAAGACUAAAGGCUUUUUCAAACAAGAUUGGAGGAAUUACUUUGUGUAAACGUGACUUCCACAAUAAUUGCCCUCCGUGAUUCAACAACAUCUGAAAAUAUAUCACCAGCUUUCAAGUUUUGAAGGGAGAUCUGACAUCACCUUUGGCUGGAAAACUAUUAAAUGACUUGAAGUAAAUUGAAUUGCCAUUCUUUAUCAAACUGAUGUGAUUGAGGAAAAAUGAAUUCCUUUGUUUUAUAGUUCUUUUGUUGUUUUUGAAAUCUGUAAAAAUAUAUAUAUUUUCAGCCAUUACUGGUUGAAUGAUGAGCAUGUAGAAUGAGUGCCGUUGUGAAGAAACAUCUGGGCUGGGCUGCUCUCCCCACAUUGUAACGUCAGUCUCCAGUAUCAGCAGGAUGCAGCUUGCAGGGUGGAAUUCGUUCAGUGAGAGAGGGGCAAUGGUGAAGCACCAAGCAAGUGGAGAGGCAGAAUGGUACAAAAGAAGUCGGGUACACGUCUGCACAAAGUGCACAUGAUUACGAAGGUUGAUUGGAUGAGAUCUGAGGUGGAUCACCUAAUUGGAGGCGCUGCUGUGAAGAUUUCUUCAUUGAUCAACUGAGCUGGUGGGUUUGGAGGAGGAUCCAACUUUUCGAAGGUGUCUGCCUGCAGCAUUGUGGCUUAUUAAAUGGACUCUUAGACUACAUUGAAUAGCACCGCAUUGUGUGAAAUCAUUCCGACUCGUCAUCCAUUGCAGCCUGGCCCUCCUGGAAUGGGGAUUCUUCCAUCUACGGCCCCUUCUCAAGGUUUCAAAAUUUUCCCCCUAGAUGUUUUGUUGUUGUUGUUGUAGUUUUUCCUUGCCCUCCUGGGGGUUAGGAACCAGCGAUGCCGUUAAUAUUUGUCAACUUUGGGCAUGUGAAGUCUUUAAAACGUUUCUGUGAUUAAGAGCUACGUAAAUAAAUUAAACUUGAGUUGACAUUGAAAAGAAUAACGAUAAUAAAGUAGACGUACCGUCACUGUGUAGAUAUUUAUUGUAAAAAAAUAAAAAAUAAAAAAU